rnacentral:rRNA from 1 species
GCCCAGCGCCAAGUCCUAACACUUGACGUGUUUAGGAGAUGCGGCGUUAUUGUAUUAGCGCAUCGCAUGCUGUUUCGUGCUUCAAGUUCCUUUGACAAGGACUCCCAGAGUGGGUGCUAGGCCCAUAGAGGCUGCGAGACUGGCAUGUGCAGGCUAAUGCAUCUUAGAGUCAGGUUGCUUGAGAGUGCAGCCUAAAGCAGGUGGUAAACUCCAUCUAAGGCUAAAUAUUACAGCAAGACCGAUAGCAAACAAGUACCGUGAGGGAAAGUUGCAAAGAACUUUGAAGAGAGAGUUCAAUAGGACGUGAAACCAUUAACAGGUAAACGGGUGGAACCACGAAGUUUGCCCUGAUGGCGAUUCAAUCAAUUUGUUUAGUUGGCUGUGAUUGUUUAAUGGGUCUUUUCGGAGGCUUGACAAUUGCUGAUUGUACAAUUGAUCAGAUUGAUGCAUUUUGCUAAUCAGGUGCUUCAACCACGUCCGAUUAGAUGGCUGAGAUGGCUUGAUUCAUUGAAGGUGGCCGUUGAUUGAUUUUUAAUCAGUUAGUGGUGUUAUAGCUUUGAAUCGAUUGCCUGUCGUCUAGCGUACUGAUCGGUAAAAGUUUUCCAAUUUGGAAUAAAGCUAGCAAUGGUCAAGUGUGUUUCAAUGCCAAUACGGUUGGUAGCAGUCUGAUCUUUUCGUAUUUUCGAAUGCGUAAAGUCUGUCGCUGGUUAUGCUGAUCGUAUUCGGUCAUUGUGAUAUGACUUGAUUGUAUACAAACUGUGGUGUUAGUAGGUCGGUCUCCACCCGACCCGUCUUGAAACACGGACCAAGGAGCCUAACAUAUACGCGAGUCGCUCGGUCUUGUUUAGGCCAGAGAGGCAGAAUGAAAGUAAAGCUAUGAGGCUGUGCUGAUGUCUCUUUGCUGAGCAUCGAUCAGUUGCAGUAGCGGCCCGCCAAUUUCGUUUAUUGGCGAUAUGGCGGAGCUGGAGCGUAUACGUUGGUACCCGAAAGAUGGUGAACUAUGCCUGGGCAGGAUGAAGCCAGAGGAAACUCUGGUGGAGGUCUGCAGCGAUUCUGACGUGCAAAUCGAUCGUCAGACCUGGGUAUAGGGGCGAAAGACUAAUCGAACCAUCUAGUAGCUGGUUCCCUCCGAAGUUUCCCUCAGGAUAGCAGGCGCUAAUCGAAAUCAGUCUCAUCCGGUAAAGCUAAUGAUUAGAGGUCUUGGGACCGAAACGGUCUCAACCUAUUCUCAAACUUUAAAUGGGUGAGAUGCCUGACUUGCUUAAUUGAAGCCAGGCAUUUGGAUGUUGAGUGCCUAGUGGGCCAGCUUUGGUAAGCAGAACUGGCGCUGUGGGAUGAACCAAACGUCGAGUUAAGGCAUCAAAUGCUUACGCUCAUCAGAUCCCAUGAAAGGUGUUGGUUGCUAUUGACAGCAGGACGGUGGCCAUGGAAGUCGGAAUCC